AUUGAACGCUGGCGGCAUGCCUUACACAUGCAAGUCGAACGGUAACAGGUCUUCGGAUGCUGACGAGUGGCGAACGGGUGAGUAAUACAUCGGAACGUGCCUAGUAGUGGGGGAUAACUACUCGAAAGAGUGGCUAAUACCGCAUGAGAUCUACGGAUGAAAGCAGGGGAUCGCAAGACCUUGUGCUACUAGAGCGGCCGGUGGCAGAUUAGGUAGUUGGUGGGAUAAAAGCUUACCAAGCCGACGAUCUGUAGCUGGUCUGAGAGGACGAUCAGCCACACUGGGACUGAGACACGGCCCAGACUCCUACGGGAGGCAGCAGUGGGGGAUGUUGGACAAUGAGCGCAAGCCUGAUCCAGCAACGCCGCGUGCAGGAUGAAGGCCUUCGGGUUGUAAACUGCUUUUGUACGGAACGAAAAGCCCCGGGUUAAUACCCUGGGGUCAUGACGGUACCGUAAGAAUAAGCACCGGCUAACUACGUGCCAGCCGCCGCAGUAA
rnacentral:rRNA from 1 species